UCUCUUCUCGCUGAGGUCUGUGACUACCCCUCUCUUCUCGCUGAGGUCUGUGACUACCCCUCUCUUCCCGCUGCAGUCUGUGACUACACCUCUCUUCCCGCUGAGGUCUGUGACUACCCCUCUCUUCCCGCUGCUCUCGCUGAGGUCUGUGACUACCCCUCUCUUCCCGCUGCUCUCGCUGAGGUCUGUGACUACCCCUCUCUUCCCGCUGCUCUCGCUGAGGUCUGUGACUACCCCUCUCUUCCCGCUGCUCUCGCUGAGGUCUGUGACUACCCCUCUCUUCCCGCUGCUCUCGCUGAGGUCUGUGACUACCCCUCUCUUCCCGCUGCUCUCGCUGAGGUCUGUGACUACCCCUCUCUUCUCGCUGAGGUCUGUGACUACCCCUCUCUUCCCGCUGCUCUCGCUGAGGUCUGUGACUACCCCUCUCUUCCCGCUGCUCUCGCUGAGGUCUGUGACUACCCCUCUCUUCCCGCUGCUCUCGCUGAGGUCUGUGACUACCCCUCUCUUCCCGCUGCUCUCGCUGAGGUCUGUGACUACCCCUCUCUUCCCGCUGAGGUCUGUGACUACCCCUCUCUUCCCGCUGAGGUCUGUGACUACCCCUCUCUUCAUUCACUCUCUUUUUUCUGCCUGACAACUUCCACCUAUAGGGCCCUAGAAAAUCAGAUUCAUUUUUUCGCCGGAUUCUGUUUUUUCCCCAAAUUCCAGUUUCUCCUCUUUGUUUUUCCUGUUUUCCACUCUCAAAAGCACACUGUUUUAAUAGAAAAUCAACACAAUUGGAUGUCCUACGUCCACAACAAAACGGUUGUCAUUACAUUAGCAUCAUCGAUAACGGCUACACAAAGUGGUAGACACAAAGCGCAGACACAGGCCUUCCUGUGCUGUUGCCUCUUCAGCAAGUUGAAGGAAAGUACGAAUCCCUGAUGAUAAUCUUUCAAAUAAAUUCAAUACAUUUAGUUCAUCAAUACAUUUUUGAAUAAUGCUGAAUUCUGUUUUAAUGUCUGGAUUCCGUGAUUCCGUCCACAACACAGAUGUUAUAGAGCCCUGUCCCUAUUUCUCCAUUCCAACCACACUCUCUCUCGUCUCUAAGGGUAAUUAAAUCUGUGUUAUUUCUGCUGUGGCUGGAUAUAACCUUAAAGACCAUAGCACACACAUGCCCCAUUCAAGAAACACUACAUACCGUCUUU